rnacentral:lncRNA from 1 species
GUAAAAUCAGUUUAAAGCAGGCAGGGUUUCUUUGGCUCACGGUCCCAGGCCUUGUAUAUGAAGCAUCCUCCCCUUCCCCAGGGCUUAAGUCCUAAAACCAGUGCUCCGUGUUGAAGGAUUCCAUGAAUCCCGGUUGGAUUGGGAAGCUUUGAGUGACCCAGAGACAUGUUCCUCUUCCUCCUGCUCACAGGUACGGCCAGGCUUCCGCCAGUGCUCAAGAGACUCAGAAAAGUCCAGCUUGGCAUCAAGCACCGAGAAAAGACGUUAAAACAAACCACGUGUCCCCUUCCUUCCUGGCCACAAUCUGCCUGAUGGCUGUCAAACCUUCCAGGAUACUCAACGGCUGGCGCUUGCCUGCCAGGUUGCUGUCUUCCUCCUUCGCUUAUGCUUCCUGCCAGGCUCCUAAGAAAUCUAGUGUCCGUGUCUGAGCUCAUUCCACCACGGGGCUCCUUUGACUAGCACCUGUUGAUGGCGUUUUAUUUUGAACAGAUCUUGUUUUUUAAAGUCCCAGAUUCUGAGACUUCUUCACUCGCUGAUAGAUGCUCCUGACACCAUGCCUGCAGCUUGAGCCUGUGCCUCCCUGCUCUGAUGGACUCAUCUCUCUGGAAGUGCCGAAUUCGAAGACUAAAAGUCUGAGGGGUUGAACUGUGUCACCAGCUAGAUCCAGCCACAGAACAG